rnacentral:rRNA from 1 species
UGCGAAGGUAGCAUAAUAAUAUGUCUUUUAAUUAGAGAAUGGAAUGAAUGAUUUGACUAAGGUAUAGCUGUCUUUUGUAUAUUAAUUAUAAGUUAACUAUUAGGUUAAAAGGCCUAAAUGAAAUUAAGGGACGAGAAGACCCUAUUGUGCUUGUAUGGAUGAUCAAUAUAAUAUACGAUUAUUAAGGUGUAUUUAUACUUGGUAUUGAAUUUUGGUUGGGGCGACUAAGGGAUAGAUAAAGCUCCCUAAAAAAGAAUGAAUAAUAGUUUUUGAUCCAGAUUAAUUUUGAAUUGAGAAUAAGUUACCCUAGGGAUAACAGCGUCAUUUUUUUGGAGAGUUCUAAUCGAAAAAAGAGUUUGCGACCUCGAUGUUGGAUUAAGAGUGUUAAAGGUUGUAGGUGCUUUUAAGACUUAGUCUGUUCGACUAUUAAAAUCUU